UACGAAGGGGAGCUAGCGUUGUUCGGAAUUACUGGGCGUAAAGCGCACGUAGGCGGAUUUGUUAGUCAGGGGUGAAAUCCCGGGGCUCAACCUCGGAACUGCCUUUGAUACUGCAAGUCUCGAGUCCGAUAGAGGUGGGUGGAAUUCCUAGUGUAGAGGUGAAAUUCGUAGAUAUUAGGAAGAACACCGGUGGCGAAGGCGGCCCACUGGAUCGGUACUGACGCUGAGGUGCGAAAGCGUGGGGAG
rnacentral:rRNA from 1 species